UGGGGAAUAUUGGACAAUGGGCGCAAGCCUGAUCCAGCAAUGCCGCGUGGGUGAAGAAGGUCUUCGGAUUGUAAAGCCCUUUCGACGGGGACGAUGAUGACGGUACCCGUAGAAGAAGCCCCGGCUAACUUCGUGCCAGCAGCCGCGGUAAUACGAAGGGAGCUAGCGUUGCUCGGAAUUACUGGGCGUAAAGGGCGCGUAGGCGGCGCAUUUAGUCAGGCGUGAAAGCCCUGGGCUCAACCUGGGGACUGCGCUUGAGACGGAUGGGCUGGAGGACGGAAGAGGGUCGCGGAAUUCCCAGUGUAGAGGUGAAAUUCGUAGAUAUUGGGAAGAACACCGGUGGCGAAGGCGGCGACCUGGUCCGUUACUGACGCUGAGGCGCGACAGCGUGGGGAGCAAACAGGAUUAGAUACCCUGGUAGUCCACGCCGUAAACGAUGUGCGCUGGAUGUUGGGUGGCCUAGCCACUCAGUGUCGCAGCUAACGCGGUAAGCGCACCG
rnacentral:rRNA from 1 species